AACGAACGCUGGCGGCAGGCUUAACACAUGCAAGUCAAACGCCCCGCAAGGGGAGUGGCAGACGGGUGAGUAACGCGUGGGAAUCUACCUAGUUCUACGGAACAACAGUUGGAAACGACUGCUAAUACCGUAUACGCCCUAUGGGGGAAAGAUUUAUCGGAAUUAGAUGAGCCCGCGUAAGAUUAGCUAGUUGGUGGGGUAAUGGCCUACCAAGGCGACGAUCUUUAGCUGGUCUGAGAGGAUGAUCAGCCACACUGGGACUGAGACACGGCCCAGACUCCUACGGGAGGCAGCAGUGGGGAAUAUUGGACAAUGGGCGCAAGCCUGAUCCAGCCAUGCCGCGUGAGUGAUGAAGGCCUUAGGGUUGUAAAGCUCUUUCAGUGGGGAAGAUAAUGACGGUACCCACAGAAGAAGCCCCGGCUAACUUCGUGCCAGCAGCCGCGGUAAUACGAAGGGGGCUAGCGUUGUUCGGAUUUACUGGGCGUAAAGCGCACGUAGGCGGUUUGGUUAAGUCAGAGGUGAAAUCCCGGAGCUCAACUCCGGAACUGCCUUUGAUACUGGCAAGCUAGAGUCCGGAAGAGGUAAGUGGAACUCCUAGUGUAGAGGUGGAAUUCGUAGAUAUUAGGAAGAACACCAGUGGCGAAGGCGGCUUACUGGUCCGGAACUGACGCUGAGGUGCGAAAGCGUGGGGGAGCAAAAC
rnacentral:rRNA from 1 species